CUUAGGCAUUUUCAAUGACGCCAGAAUCUACUGCCGGUAUCCUAGCAUUUCUUCCUACCUAAUAUCUUACUGGUUCUGAUUAUAUUUUGUCAUACAUUGUUAUACUGUAAUGUUGUAAUGAGAUAUACAUUUAAAUAAUAAUAAAAAAAGAUUCUUCCUACCUAAAAAAAAAAAAAAAAGAUUCUUCCAACCUAUAGAUAUUCUUCCGAGGCUUAGUGCGCAUGCGCUGAAGAAGAAAAAAGUCAGAACGCCAGAAAGCUAGUACUCCACAGUGGAUGGAGAGUUGUGGUGGCAAUCAUGCAUUCACAAAUACAUUGGAAAGUGGCAUCUCUUCCAAACAGAAAGAUCACUUUUUAGUCAUAUCUGCAGUGUGGAAGAUGACCUCAAUGAAUCACUCCCACCAAUUUGCGAUGCUGUUCAAGAGGUACAUGAAGACUGGACGCUGUACCCUCCAGAAGACUCAAAGCUUCUCAGAAUGGUGAAAUACAUAUUCAAAAUAAAGAAGCUCCCAGCCGACCUGCUUUCAGAUGCCUGCAGUCCAUCAAAAGAAUAUCCAAGACACUUGAUUCCAAAAGAGACUGUGUGCUCAGAAUGCCCCGGAGAGACCUUUUUAAGUGAGCCACAGAUUAUUUCUUGCAAAGCCAAUAUUGUCACAAUGUCUGAUGUCAUUGAAGGUAGCAGACAGAACCCCGUUAUGUUAAGUCCUUCUUUUCAAAACUGGGCACCGUGGAUAGGACGCAACACAAGGGGCUCUAAUCUGAUUCAUAACACAGAAUACAGGAAUGUCCAGCAAGUCCAAAAUUCAGAUUAUUCAAGUGAAUUUAAUAUCACUGACGAUCACCUCACUGAUGAAUUUCUGAAACUCAAGAUGAAUGUUCUGCAUAGCCUGUGUAGACAGUGUGGUGUAGACCCAAAGGGAUCACAUAUGGACAUUAUCAUGAGGCUCCGCAAAGAGAUGCAGACCAGGGCAACAUAUGACAAGGUUUUUUCAAAGGUCUGGGGAGCCUCUGGUUGGAUGGGCUGUUGUAACGUGCCCCUGUGCAUUUGUUUACGCCAUCAAGUUCAAUCUGGGCUGAUCAGAGAGCCCAAUUGAUUUUGCAGAUCAUCUUCUCUCCUUCAAGCAUUUUCCAAACAUUACACAGUAUGACUUUGCAAGAGGGCUUGCCUGCCACACCAACCUGAGGAAACCAGUCCUUUACUCCACAUGAGGGGUGACUCUUGGAGCCCCCAGACACCAAUAUUGAACUGGCUACAUCAUGUCAUCUUAACAUAAGCUUACCAUGAAUUAAAUGUAGAAAGCCUGUACCUGACAAGAAUGGUCACCCCUUGACAGGGUCAUCAGAGCAUUAUGUUCUGUAUGACCGCUUUCAUGAGAAAAACACAAAGAAUACAAGAGAUGCUCUGCGGAAAAUUGAGCAUGUAACACAGUUGCAUGGUUGGGUCAACAGCCAGUGUGCUGAGCAGCUCUUUGCCAGCAUGAAGAAAAACAACUAUUUUCUUAACAUGAUGACACCUUCCUCUCGUUUUUUAAAUGAGAAACAUACAGUAUUAUAUGGAAUGCAACAACAAAACACUGCAAUCCAUGAGGAUGAUGGGGCAUGGGGAUAAAUAUUGUGCUGGAUUCAAAUGGUAAAACUGUAUUAGGUAUGUAUUUAAAAAGUAUGUUUUGUGAGGAGAAUUUUUAUCAUCAUUCAUUGUUAAUAUUGAGAAUGGUGGAGAAGUUGUGAUCAUUUAAAGUCAGUAAUUUGAAGUUAUUACUUUUUUGUAAUGCUGUAACAUUCUUAACAGCCUCUGCUAUGACCCCUGCACCACCUGUUGAAAGACCUUCAGAAACCUCUGAAAGAGCUCUAGAACAAACGGAACUGAGAUAGACAUGCUGAAAGAGAGAUUGAGGAAUUCCAAUUUUGAGAAGCCUUAGAACCACUGGUAAACACCUCUUAGGCCUACUCUACAGUGACUUAUGCAUAGACUGUUAAUUGUGCAGAGAAACUUUUUGAGAAAUAUGCUAAUUUUUUCAUGGUAUAACAAAAAAAGUGUUUUUUGUCUCUUCAGAAUGAUUACGUGCUGGACACCAAUAGACCAAUGGAUGAAGCAGUUGGCAUAGUAGAACCAGUAGUUCUGAUCAGAGCGGACUGUUUGGCAUUAGUUUAAAAUUGUGAACUCGAGGAAACAGUAAAUAACAAACAAAUAAUUAUAAUAUACACUCACCUAAAGGAUUAUUAGG